rnacentral:rRNA from 1 species
GACGAACGCUGGCGGCGUGCUUAACACAUGCAAGUCGAACGAAGUGGCGAACGGGUGAGUAACGCGUAAUCAACCUGCCCUUCAGAGGGGGACAACAGUUGGAAACGACUGCUAAUAACGCAUACUGAAGGAGGGGAUUGCGUCUGAUUGGCUAGUUGGAGGGGUAACGGCCCACCAAGGCGAUGAUCAGUAGCCGGUCUGGGAGGAUGAACGGCCACAUUGGGAAUGCGACACGGCCCAGACGCCUUAGGGAGGCAGCAGUGGGGAAUCUUCCGCAAUGGACGAAAGUCUGACGGAGCAACGCCGCGUGGGUGAUGACGGCCUUCGGGUUGUAAAGCUCUGUUAAGCGGGACGCGGUACCGGAAUAGAAAGCCACGGCUAACUACGUGCCAGCAGCCGCGGUAAUUC